UAAAGCUUCCGUCGAGGUAUAGGGGAGGAGACAAAUUCAAGCCCACCGUUUUCGUCGCGAAUUUGCUUGAGACAUACUCACAGAUUAUUCGCUAUGAAGUCCUACGCAAUCUUGGCACUGCUCAUCCUGGGCCAUUUGUGUCAAAUUCAAGCAGCCACGCUGAGCAUGACAGCAACGAGCACGGACGACGCGAGGAAGCUACUCACCGAGAAACUGUCCCAUUCAAUCAUGGAGAACCGCGAAGAGCUCCUCGAGGCUCUCAAGGCAAUCGACGGCACAGGCGACGAAACCGAUGAGCAGGUCCUUCCAGCCCUAGCUGUGCCAAUAAUUACGGCCAUUGUUAGCGGGGCUGUAUCCAGAGCUGUUGGAGCCGGUGUGGGGAUAGCAGUUCAGAAUGGCUGAAUGUAUACGACAUCAUUUUUUAGUACAUUAAAUUAUUACACAUUUA